AUUGAACGCUGGCGGCAGGCCUAACACAUGCAAGUCGAACGAGUGGCGGACGGGUGAGUAAUGUCUGGGCAACUGCCUGAUGGACGGGGAUAACUACUGGAAACGGUAGCUAAUAUCGCAUACCAUCGGAUGUGCCCAGAUGGGUUUAGCUAGUAGGUGGGGUAAAGGCUCACCUAGGCGACGAUCCCUAGCUGGGCUGAGAGGGUGACCAGCCACACUGGAACUGAGACACGGCCCAGACUCCUACGGGAGGCAGCAGUGGGGAAUAUUGCACAAUGGGCGCAAGCCUGAUGGAGCCAUGCCGCGUGGAUGAAGAAGGUCUUCGGGUUGUAAAGUACUGUUGGCGGGGAGGCGUUAUCCGCAGAAGAAGCACCGGCUAACUACGUGCCAGCAGCCGCGGUAAUAC
rnacentral:rRNA from 1 species